AUGUUGUUAAAUUGUUUACGUUUCAUGGUCUUCUCAUGCUUGAUUUGUUUUAUUCGUCAUGUUUAAGUAUCUAAGUUGCAUUCCACUAGAAUUAAUUAAGCCGGUCCCUACAAGUCUAUAACCCUAUAUAUUGAUAAGUUGACUACAACUUGCAAUUUAAUGGAUAUAACUAGCUAGGACAAUUCAUUUUGUAGUGUUUCUGUUGAAAGUUUUAUGUUACUUGUUUCAAUUUUUCAAGUCCAACUUAUAUAUUUUUGUACAAAUCCAUCAAUAUCAAUUAAUUUUAAGAUAAAAUUUAAUACAGUAUAAGUGUCAUUUAAUACAGUACAAAUCCAUCUAUAUAUAUAUAUAUAAAUUUCUAUUUUGUGGUCCCCUCUACAACAAUGUCAUUCCAAAACUCUGCUAUAAAAUGAGAAACUUUUUGUCGCACUACUAAAAUAAAAACUUUUUACGAUGCACUUUCAAAGUCGGUCGCAACAUGACCGUCGUAGUAUUAGGGGCGGUGACAUUUUUGUAAAUAUCUUAUAUAUUCAACAACGUUUUUGUUUAGGACCAUUUUCGUAUGCUAACGAGAAAAUUGACUAAGACGGUGUAUAUUAAACACGUUGUUGAAAUCACUAAAAACAAAGACGGGCUUUAAAAUGCACCGUCGUUAACCAUAUUUUAUAAAAGCUUCUUGUCCCGUGAGUGAGUGAGUUUUUGAGUGAACGAAAACUUCCGGCACUAGGUCUUCCUCGUGAGUGAGCUUCUGAGUGAACCUUCAAAAACUUCCUGCGCUCGCAGCACCUUCACACCUCUGAACGCGAAUCUCCCCCCUGAGCUUCGCGUGGCGUUUCGGUGCCUUUCUGCGAACCCAAAGGUCGUUGCACUGACACUGUUCACAAAGGAACUUCUAACUUCAUCACUUCCUCCCUCGGUUCAUAGGCUGGGUUCGGACCCUAGCUAGUUGUGUUUUGCGACAAGUAGAUUUAUCGCUUUCCAGGGUGGUUGCAAGUUACAGCCUCAAUUUUUGAAAAGGAAUACUUGAGAGUAAGUAGCCUUGUCUGUCAAAUACUCUCUAGAGGAAAACCUGGUGAGUUAUAUAACACAUGCUUUGAUCCAUUGUGAAAACUUAUAUGCUCAUUUUGAAUACUUUCUCACAUGAACCAUGAAAAUGUUGCAUGGCUAUUAGAUUUUUGUUUACUUUUCUAUUUAUUCAUUAUUAGGUGAUUGCCUCACUUUUCCAUGUUAAAGUGUAUUCAGGAAUGGCAUUUUUGUCUUGAUCUGUUUGCUCAUAUUAUUAAAAGGUGAUUGCAUUGAUUUUAUUUAUUUAGUAGAGCAUUGAUUGUA